GGCGUUAAGUUGCAGGGUAUAGACCCGAAACCCGGUGAUCUAGCCAUGGGCAGGUUGAAGGUUGGGUAACACUAACUGGAGGACCGAACCGACUAAUGUUGAAAAAUUAGCGGAUGACCUGUGGCUGGGGGUGAAAGGCCAAUCAAACCGGGAGAUAGCUGGUUCUCCCCGAAAGCUAUUUAGGUAGCGCCUCGUGAAUUCAUCUCCGGGGGUAGAGCACUGUUUCGGCUAGGGGGCCAUCCCGGCUUACCAACCCGAUGCAAACUGCGAAUACCGGAGAAUGUUAUCACGGGAGACACACGGCGGGUGCUAACGUCCGUCGUGAAGA
rnacentral:rRNA from 1 species